UCUCUUUUUGACAUCAAUUUUGGUAAAAUUCUAUAUAAAUUGUUAUUAUUAUUUUUGUCUUAAGGGUCCGAAUGAUGACUGCGUUUUGCGGUGUGGGAGAAGUGCGGUGCGGUUCAAAUAGUAACGAAAAUACAUAUAUAUAGAGAGAGAUUUUGAUACUGUUACCUGUUGCAGUGCGGUUUUGGGUGCGGUUUAUAUUACUAUUCAUAGUCUAAAUCUCCAACAUUUUAAAGUGACACUACUGUUAGUGAUACAAUCCUAAAUGGCUAGAC
rnacentral:sRNA from 1 species